GUCCACGCCCUAAACGAUGUCAACUGGGUGUUGGGGAAGUGAUUCCUUGGUACCGUAGCUAACGCGUGAAGUUUACCGCCUGGGGAGUACGGCCGCAAGGUUAAAACUCAAAGGAAUUGACGGGGACCCGCACAAGCGGUGGAUGAUGUGGAUUAAUUCGAUGCAACGCGAACAACCUUACCUACCCUUGACAUGUCCGGAAGCCUGGUGAGAGCUGGGUGUGCCCGAAAGGGAAUCGGAACACAGGUGCUGCAUGGCUGUCGU
rnacentral:rRNA from 1 species